rnacentral:rRNA from 1 species
GAACCUUACCAGGUCUUGACAUCCCGAUGCUUAUUUCUAGAGAUAGAAAGUUACUUCGGUACAUCGGUGACAGGUGGUGCAUGGUUGUCGUCAGCUCGUGUCGUGAGAUGUUGGGUUAAGUUCCGCAACGAGCGCAACCCCUAUUGUUAGUUGCCAUCAUUCAGUUGGGCACUCUAGCGAGACUGCCGGUAAUAAACCGGAGGAAGGUGGGAUGACGUCAAAUCAUCAUGCCCCUUAUGACCUGGCUACACACAUGCUACAAUGGUUGGUACAACGAGUUGCGAGUCGGUGACGGCGAGCUAAUCUCUUAAAGCCAAUCUCAGUUCGGAUUGUAGGCUGCAACUCGCCUACAUGAAGUCGGAAUCGCUAGUAAUCGCGGAUCAGCAUGCCGCGGUGAAUACGUUCCCGGGCCUU